GGCCGGUUGGCGCAAUGGUAGCGCGCAGCCCUCCUACGAUGAGGGAGGCUGAGGCUGUGGGUUCGAGUCCCACAUCGGUCG